AUCACUUUUCGGCCUUUUGGCUAAGAUCAAGUUUAGUAUCUGUUCUUAUCAGUAAAAACGUUGGCCACUUAUUAAUUUAUCGGUAAGAACAAGUGUCCCAUUGAAGAUGAAGUGACCUAUC
rnacentral:snRNA from 1 species